CACUAUUUGUUCGGAUAUCCCUUUGCUAUCAAAG
rnacentral:scRNA from 1 species